rnacentral:rRNA from 1 species
UCAUCAUGCCCUUAUGACCUGGGCUACACACGUGCUACAAUGGUUGGUACAACGAGUUGCGAGUCGGUGACGGCGAGCUAAUCUACUUAAAGCCAAUCUCAGUUCGGAUUGUAGGCUGCAACUCGCCUACAUGAAGUCGGAAUCGCUAGUAAUCGCGGAUCAGCACGCCGCGGUGAAUACGUUCCCGGGCCUU